AGUUAAAAUUUUGUUUUUUUUUUUUUUUUGAGAAAUAGGUAGUACACUACCCGCUUCGUUUAUUUUAUUUAGAAAUAAACUUAGCUGGAAAUAUGAAUCAAUUAGGAUUCGAACUUGGGUAUCGGGUACCAACUACCAAGCCCUUUGUCACUUGCUCUAGGGACGGUCAGUACUAGUUAAGAACAAAAAGUGUAACGAUCCGACCUGUUAGCAAUAAUAAUUUGUUAUGGCCAAACAACCGGUCCAAAAUGCUUAAGUCCGGCUAUUAUUAUUAGCGUAUAAGCCUCAUAUAUUCCAAUGAAUCUAAUCAACCUUACAAACUCUCUAUAUUUGGACCCCGAUGUCCUCGUCAGGUUCAAACCAGAUCACAAAUGCAGAUUAAAAUUACCAGGCGAUGUGAAAUCCUAGAGAUGGCUCCUACGGGUUCAAAAGGUGGCUCCUAACUACCAAAUCCGUUGGUGUAGCACUUUGUCCCGUAUAGCACUUAUCUCUCACACUUCCGGCUAGUAUUCGUUUUUAAUACUAAUUGUAACGAUCUGACCAGCUAGUAGGGAUGCAAACGGGGCGGAUCCGGGGCGGGAGGGUUACCCCACCUCUUGCUCCAUUUUUGUCAGGACGGCGCGGAUUCGGAACGUGUUAUAUUUUAUAUUUUAUUUAUAUUUUGCUCCCACUUACCGCCCAUUCGGGGGGAUCGGGGCGGGAGCGGAUUUUUGACGAAUCAAGACUGAUUGAAGGAAGAAAAAGGUCUCUCGCCUCCCGCUCUAAUUAGUUGGUGGAUGGGAAUGAGUUAUAUUUUUUCAUAUUUUUUAUUCCCACUUAUCGCCCCAGUCGGGGCGGAUCGGGGUGGGAGCUCCACCAACCCGGAUCCAUUUGCAUCCCUAUUCGCUAGCAAUAAUAACUUGUUAAAUUCAAACCACAAGCCCAAAAUACUUAAGUUCAGUUAAUUUUAUUAGAGUGUAGGCCUCAUAUAUUCUAAUCAGAAUUAGUUUUUUACCAGAUGUGAGGACGCUACAAAAAGACUCUCUAAACAGUUUUCAAAAGUACUUUAGAGGUCUGCUCCCUCCUAUUCUGGAAAACAUGGCAGAAAAAUCGUGACAGAGAUGUACAUCUCAAGAGCGAAGGUAUUAAUUUUUUUACACAGGCUAUGUACAAUAGUAUACAAAUCCUCCUAUUUGUUAAAUAAUAGAAAAUAACCGUUGUACUCUAAAAUUAAGUUUAAUUUUGUAAAAAACGGUGUUUAAAUAUUUUUAUGUUUAACACUUUCUUUCACGUCUAGACUCAAGACUUUUCGUUAAGCUCAUGAGGUGGACUUAAAUUAAAUAAAAAAAAUUAAUAAUGUUAAGAGUCUGGAGUGAUUCGAACCCAUCAUAAUUUUCUAUUCUGAUACCAUAUUAAAUAAUACGAAGCUACAUCUAUACUCUAACUUAAAUUUAUAGAGAACGAUGUUUAAAUAUUUUUAUAUUUAACACUAUUAACUUUUGGUUGUAGCUAGUGGCAAAAACUCCAUUGAAUAUAACUCCAUAUAAUCCAACAAAUAAUAAUUAUUAAUAAUUAAACCAAAGAAUUUACGAGGGAACAAAACAUAAGAUAAUUACUGAUCGUUUCUAGCUAGCGCAAGUGGCAAAGUACUUGGUGGUUGAUAUCUGAGAUUUCAAGUUCGAAUCCUAAUUGAUUCAUAUUUUUAGCUAAAUUUAUUUUUUAAAAAAUAAACGAAACGGAUAGCGUGCUAAAAACAAAACAUAAGAUAAUUAAGAUAAAUAUCAUUUUAAUUAGAAUAUAUCGAU
rnacentral:lncRNA from 1 species